UUGGGAAGUUAGGGUGGAAGAUUGCCAGCAGCCAUGGCCUCCCAUGAGGGUGUCCCUUUCAAGUUUGAGAACGCACUGGGGGACUGCAGAUGGUGUUGACAGCAGCUGAGGCUACAUUCCCAGGAGUCUCCAGCCAUCACCCCAAAAGCAAGGUGUGGGUCAGCCAACUUUUGUUCUGGACAGGCACGGUUGGUGGUCCUGUCUCCCACAGGAUCUUCUGUACCAUUUAAUAAAGUUUUGUUUAUAAGACUGA
rnacentral:lncRNA from 1 species